rnacentral:rRNA from 1 species
UAACACGUGGAUAACCUGCCUCAAGGCUGGGGAUAACAUUUGGAAACAGAUGCUAAUACCGAAUAAAACUUAGUAUCGCAUGAUAUCAAGUUAAAAGGCGCUACGGCGUCACCUAGAGAUGGAUCCGCGGUGCAUUAGUUAGUUGGUGGGGUAAAGGCUUACCAAGACGAUGAUGCAUAGCCGAGUUGAUAGACUGAUCGGCCACAUUGGGACUGAGACACGGCCCAAACUCCUACGGGAGGCAGCAG